rnacentral:rRNA from 1 species
AGAAUGCAUAGGAAUCACCUAGUAGUAUGGGAUAGCCACUAGAAAUGGUGGGUAAUACUGUAUAAUCCCUGCGGGGGAAAGAUUUAUCGCUAUUAGAUGAGCCUAUGUUAGAUUAGCUAGUUGGUAGGGUAAAGGCCUACCAAGGCGAUGAUCUAUAGCUGGUCUGAGAGGAUGAUCAGCCACACUGGAACUGAGAUACGGUCCAGACUCCUACGGGAGGCAGCAGUGGGGAAUAUUGGACAAUGGGCGCAAGCCUGAUCCAGCUAUGCCGCGUGAGUGAGGAAGGCCUUAGGGUUGUAAAACUCUUUCAGUAGGGAAGAUAAUGACGGUACCUACAGAAGAAGUCCCGGCAAACUCCGUGCCAGCAGCCGCGGUAAUACGGAGGGGGCAAGCGUUGUUCGGAAUUAUUGGGCGUAAAGGGCAUGUAGGCGGUUCGGUAAGUUAAAGGUGAAAUGCCAGGGCUUAACCCUGGAGCUGCUUUUAAUACUGCC